rnacentral:rRNA from 2 species
CGAACUCUGGUAUUGAUUGGUGCUUGCAUCAUGAUUUACAUUUGAGUGAGUGGCGAACUGGUGAGUAACACGUGGGAAACCUGCCCAGAAGCGGGGGAUAACACCUGGAAACAGAUGCUAAUACCGCAUAACAACUUGGACCGCAUGGUCCGAGUUUGAAAGAUGGCUUCGGCUAUCACUUUUGGAUGGUCCCGCGGCGUAUUAGCUAGAUGGUGAGGUAACGGCUCACCAUGGCAAUGAUACGUAGCCGACCUGAGAGGGUAAUCGGCCACAUUGGGACUGAGACACGGCCCAAACUCCUACGGGAGGCAGCAGUAGGGAAUCUUCCACAAUGGACGAAAGUCUGAUGGAGCAACGCCGCGUGAGUGAAGAAGGGUUUCGGCUCGUAAAACUCUGUUGUUAAAGAAGAACAUAUCUGAGAGUAACUGUUCAGGUAUUGACGGUAUUUAACCAGAAAGCCACGGCUAACUACGUGCCAGCAGCCGCGGUAAUACGUAGGUGGCAAGCGUUGUCCGGAUUUAUUGGGCGUAAAGCGAGCGCAGGCGGUUUUUUAAGUCUGAUGUGAAAGCCUUCGGCUCAACCGAAGAAGUGCAUCGGAAACUGGGAAACUUGAGUGCAGAAGAGGACAGUGGAACUCCAUGUGUAGCGGUGAAAUGCGUAGAUAUAUGGAAGAACACCAGUGGCGAAGGCGGCUGUCUGGUCUGUAACUGACGCUGAGGCUCGAAAGUAUGGGUAGCAAACAGGAUUAGAUACCCUGGUAGUCCAUACCGUAAACGAUGAAUGCUAAGUGUUGGAGGGUUUCCGCCCUUCAGUGCUGCAGCUAACGCAUUAAGCAUUCCGCCUGGGGAGUACGGCCGCAAGGCUGAAACUCAAAGGAAUUGACGGGGGCCCGCACAAGCGGUGGAGCAUGUGGUUUAAUUCGAAGCUACGCGAAGAACCUUACCAGGUCUUGACAUACUAUGCAAAUCUAAGAGAUUAGACGUUCCCUUCGGGGACAUGGAUACAGGUGGUGCAUGGUUGUCGUCAGCUCGUGUCGUGAGAUGUUGGGUUAAGUCCCGCAACGAGCGCAACCCUUAUUAUCAGUUGCCAGCAUUAAGUUGGGCACUCUGGUGAGACUGCCGGUGACAAACCGGAGGAAGGUGGGGAUGACGUCAAAUCAUCAUGCCCCUUAUGACCUGGGCUACACACGUGCUACAAUGGAUGGUACAACGAGUUGCGAACUCGCGAGAGUAAGCUAAUCUCUUAAAGCCAUUCUCAGUUCGGAUUGUAGGCUGCAACUCGCCUACAUGAAGUCGGAAUCGCUAGUAAUCGCGGAUCAGCAUGCCGCGGUGAAUACGUUCCCGGGCCUUGUACACACCGCCCGUCACACCAUGAGAGUUUGUAACACC